UCUCGCUCUCUCCUCUCUUUCUCUCUCUACCCGACCAUGAUUUUUUUCUCUCUUCUUCUUUUCCUUCUUCUUCCAAUCGUGCGUCAACGCGUCGCACAACCCGCGUAACCCUCCUCCUCUUUCUUACUCUCUCGACUGCGGUGUCGCGCAACGGGACGAGACCCACCUCCUCUCUAAAUCUCCGUCGGUUCCCUCUCUCGGCUGUGACCUUCCUCUCUCACUCCUCCCUCUCUCGGCUGUGACUUUCCUCUCUCAGUCCUCCCUCUCUCUUCAAGACGCUCGACGCUCUCUUCUCUACAUGUUUUUUCUUCUUUCUUUCUUUUUAUGUUAAUUAAUUAUAUAUAUAUACACAUAUAUAACUCCCAGAGUUGGGUUCUUUUUUCUUUCUUUCU
rnacentral:lncRNA from 1 species